rnacentral:rRNA from 1 species
CCUACGGGAGGCAGCAGUGAGGAAUAUUGGACAAUGGGCGCAAGCCUGAUCCAGCCAUGCCGCGUGCAGGAAGAAGCAUCUAUGGUGUGUAAACUGCUUUUGUACAGGAAGAAACACUCCCUCGUGAGGGAGCUUGACGGUACUGUAAGAAUAAGGACCGGCUAACUCCGUGCCGGCAGCCGCGGUAAUACGGAGGGUCCGAGCGUUAUCCGGAAUCAUUGGGUUUAAAGGGUCCGUAGGCGGUUUAAUAAGUCAGUGGUGAAAUCUGGUCGCUCAACGAUCAAACGGCCAUUGAUACUGUUAGACUUGAAUUAUAAGGAAGUAACUAGAAUAUGUAGUGUAGCGGUGAAAUGCUUAGAUAUUACAUGGAAUACCAAUUGCGAAGGCAGGUUACUACUUAUGGAUUGACGCUGAUGGACGAAAGCGUGGGGAGCGAACAGGAUUAGAUACCCUGGUAGUCCACGCCGUAAACGAUGGAUACUAGCUGUUCGGAGCAAUCUGAGUGGCUAAGCGAAAGUGAUAAGUACUCCCACCGUGGGGAGUACGUUCGCAAGANGAAACUUAANAAGUAGUAGUGAGNGNGAGAGACGACGACGACGACGAGGAGGGAGGAGG